AGAUAUAUAUAUAUAUAUAUAUUUCCAGAAGUAUAUGACCCUUCUAUUAAGAGUACUGCAUGUAUAUAGAAUGGAUUAUUUUUUAAUGAAGACAGAAACAGUCUUAUUAUACACAGAAAGUAUAUAUUUAACCUCCCCCAUGAUAUUAUAGCACUUAAUGAGGUCUAACACAGUAAAUUACAGACAGUAAAUCUCCCCAUGAUAUUAUAGCACUUAAUGAGGUCUAACACAGUAAAUUACAGACAGUAAAUCUCCCCAUGAUAUUAUAGCACUUAAUGAGGUCUAACACAGUAAAUUACAGACAGUAAAUCUCCCCAUGAUAUUAUAGCACUUAAUGAGGUCUAACACAGUAAAUUACAGACAGUAAAUCUCCCCCAUGAUAUUAUAGCACCUAAUGAGGUCUAACACAGUAAAUCUCCCCAUGAUAUUAUAGCACUUAAUGAGGUCUAACACAGUAAAUUACAGACAGUAAAUCUCCCCAUGAUAUUAUAGCACUUAAUGAGGUCUAACACAGUAAAUUACAGACAGUAAAUCUCCCCAUGAUAUUAUAGCACUUAAUGAGGUCUAACACAGUAAAUUACAGACAGUAAAU